GCUCAGGACGAACGCUGGCGGCGUGCCUAAUACAUGCAAGUCGAACGCUUCUUUUUCCACCGGAGCUUGCUCCACCGGAAAAAGAGGAGUGGCGAACGGGUGAGUAACACGUGGGUAACCUGCCCAUCAGAAGGGGAUAACACUUGGAAACAGGUGCUAAUACCGUAUAACAAUCGAAACCGCAUGGUUUUGAUUUGAAAGGCGCUUUACGGUGCCGCUGAUGGAUGGACCCGCGGUGCAUUAGCUAGUUGGUGAGGUAACGGCUCACCAAGGCCACGAUGCAUAGCCGACCUGAGAGGGUGAUCGGCCACAUUGGGACUGAGACACGGCCCAAACUCCUACGGGAGGCAGCAGUAGGGAAUCUUCGGCAAUGGACGAAAGUCUGACCGAGCAACGCCGCGUGAGUGAAGAAGGUUUUCGGAUCGUAAAACUCUGUUGUUAGAGAAGAACAAGGAUGAGAGUAACUGUUCAUCCCUUGACGGUAUCUAACCAGAAAGCCACGGCUAACUACGUGCCAGCAGCCGCGGUAAUACGUAGGUGGCAAGCGUUGUCCGGAUUUAUUGGGCGUAAAGCGAGCGCAGGCGGUUUCUUAAGUCUGAUGUGAAAGCCCCCGGCUCAACCGGGGAGGGUCAUUGGAAACUGGGAGACUUGAGUGCAGAAGAGGAGAGUGGAAUUCCAUGUGUAGCGGUGAAAUGCGUAGAUAUAUGGAGGAACACCAGUGGCGAAGGCGGCUCUCUGGUCUGUAACUGACGCUGAGGCUCGAAAGCGUGGGGAGCAAACAGGAUUAGAUACCCUGGUAGUCCACGCCGUAAACGAUGAGUGCUAAGUGUUGGAGGGUUUCCGCCCUUCAGUGCUGCAGCUAACGCAUUAAGCACUCCGCCUGGGGAGUACGACCGCAAGGUUGAAACUCAAAGGAAUUGACGGGGGCCCGCACAAGCGGUGGAGCAUGUGGUUUAAUUCGAAGCAACGCGAAGAACCUUACCAGGUCUUGACAUCCUUUGACCACUCUAGAGAUAGAGCUUCCCCUUCGGGGGCAAAGUGACAGGUGGUGCAUGGUUGUCGUCAGCUCGUGUCGUGAGAUGUUGGGUUAAGUCCCGCAACGAGCGCAACCCUUAUUGUUAGUUGCCAUCAUUUAGUUGGGCACUCUAGCAAGACUGCCGGUGACAAACCGGAGGAAGGUGGGGAUGACGUCAAAUCAUCAUGCCCCUUAUGACCUGGGCUACACACGUGCUACAAUGGGAAGUACAACGAGUCGCGAAGUCGCGAGGCUAAGCUAAUCUCUUAAAGCUUCUCUCAGUUCGGAUUGUAGGCUGCAACUCGCCUACAUGAAGCCGGAAUCGCUAGUAAUCGCGGAUCAGCACGCCGCGGUGAAUACGUUCCCGGGCCUUGUACACACCGCCCGUCACACCACGAGAGUUUGUAACACCCGAAGUCGGUGAGGUAACCUUUUUGGAGCCAGCCGCCUAAGGUGGGAUAGAUGAUUGGGGUGAAGUCGU
rnacentral:rRNA from 1 species